GACGAACGCUGGCGGCGUGCCUAAUACAUGCAAGUAGAACGCACAGUUUAUACCGUAGCUUGCUACACCAUAGACUGUGAGUUGCGAACGGGUGAGUAACGCGUAGGUAACCUGCCUGGUAGCGGGGGAUAACUAUUGGAAACGAUAGCUAAUACCGCAUAAUAUUGAUUAUUGCAUGAUAAUUGAUUGAAAGAUGCUAUUGCAUCACUACCAGAUGGACCUGCGUUGUAUUAGCUAGUAGGUGAGGUAACGGCUCACCUAGGCGACGAUACAUAGCCGACCUGAGAGGGUGAACGGCCACACCGGGACUGAGACACGGCCCAGACUCCUACGGGAGGCAGCAGUAGGGAAUCUUCGGCAAUGGACGAAAGUCUGACCGAGCAACGCCGCGUGAGUGAAGAAGGGUUUCGGAUCGUAAAGCUCUGUUGUAAGAGAAGAACGGGUGUGAGAGUGGAAAGUUCACACUGUGACGGUAUCUUACCAGAAAGGGACGGCUAACUACGUG
rnacentral:rRNA from 1 species